GGCGGGAGUCUGUCUGAAUAGAACACCCUUUAGGGGGAAUAGGACAGGCAGUUCCUUUAGCUGUUUUCGAGACUCCCGCCUGCUUCGG
rnacentral:ncRNA from 1 species